AGCUCCAAUAGCGUAUAUUAAAGUUGUUGCAGUUAAAAAGCUCGUAGUUGGAUUUCUGGUAGAAGGAACGAGCGCACCUGCGUGAUGCUCGCGUCUUUUGCCAUCCUUCUGUUAACUGUUCUUGACAUUGAUUUGUCGGUUCAGGGCUCAGAUAUUUUACCUUGAGAAAAUUAGAGUGUUUCAGGCAGGCUUUUGCCCGGAUACAUUAGCAUGGAAUAAUAGAACAGGACUUCGCCUCUUCUGUUGGUUUGAGGGGUUGAAGUAAUG
rnacentral:rRNA from 1 species